rnacentral:rRNA from 1 species
AUUGAACGCUGGCGGCAUGCCCUACACAUGCAAGUCGAACGGUAACAGGUCUUCGGAUGCUGACGAGUGGCGAACGGGUGAGUAAUACAUCGGAACGUGCCUAGUAGUGGGGGAUAACUACUCGAAAGAGUGGCUAUACCGCAUGAGAUCUACGGAUGAAAGCAGGGGAUCGCAAGACCUUGUGCUACUAGAGCGGCCGAUGGCAGAUUAGGUAGUUGGUGGGAUAAAAGCUUACCAAGCCGACGAUCUGUAGCUGGUCUGAGAGGACGAUCAGCCACACUGGGACUGAGACACGGCCCAGACUCCUACGGGAGGCAGCAGUGGGGAAUUUUGGACAAUGGGCGCAAGCCUGAUCCAGCAAUGCCGCGUGCAGGAUGAAGGCCUUCGGGCUGUAAACUGCUUUUGUACGGAACGAAAAGCCCUGGGUUAAUACCCUGGGGUCAUGACGGUACCGUAAGAAUAAGCACCGGCUAACUACGUGCCAGCCGCCGCGGUAAUAC